GGGCGUACGGGAGGCAGCAGUGAGGAAUAUUGGUCAAUGGGCGCAAGCCUGAACCAGCCAUCCCGCGUGCAGGAUGAAGGCCCUAUGGGUCGUAAACUGCUUUUAUACACCAAGAAAAACACCCACGUGUGGGUGCCCGACGGUAGUGUAUGAAUAAGCAUCGGCUAACUCCGUGCCAUCAUCCGUGGUAAUACGGAGGAUGCAAGCGUUAUCCGGAUUCAUUGGGUUUAAAGGGGUGGGUAGGCGGCUUUUUAAGUCAGUGGUGAAAUCUUGCCGGUUAACGGUAAAGUUGCCAUUGAUAGUGAUAAGCUUGAGUACAAUUGAGGUAAGCGGAAUGUGUAGUGUAGCGGUGAAAUGCUUAGAUAUUACACAGAACACCGAUUGCGAAGGCAGCUUACUAAACUGUCACUGACGCUGAUGCACGAAAGCGUGGGGAGCGAACAGGAUUAGAUACCCUGGUAGUCCACGCCGUAAACGAUGAUCACUCGCUGUAUGCGAUACACAGUAUGCGGCCAAGCGAAAGCAUUAAGUGAUCCACCUGGGGAGUACGAUCGCAAGGUUGAACUCGAAGGAAUUGACGGGG
rnacentral:rRNA from 1 species